UACGGGAGGCAGCAGUGGGGAAUAUUGCACAAUGGGCGCAAGCCUGAUGCAGCCAUGCCGCGUGUAUGAAAAAGGCCUUCGGGUUGUAAAGUACUUUCAGUCGUGAGGAAGGUGUUAAGGUUAAUAACCUUAGCAAUUGACGUUAGCGACAGAAGAAGCACCGGCUAACUCCGUGCCAGCAGCCGCGGUAAUACGGAGGGUGCGAGCGUUAAUCGGAAUUACUGGGCGUAAAGGGCACGCAGGCGGUUAAUUAAGUUGGAUGUGAAAUCCCCGGGCUUAACCUGGGAAUGGCAUUCAAGACUGGUUAGCUAGAGUCUUGUAGAGGGGGUUAGAAUUCCAUGUGUAGCGGUGAAAUGCGUAGAGAUGUGGAGGAAUACCGGUGGCGAAGGCGGCCCCUGGACAAAGACUGACGCUCAUGUGCGAAAGCGUGGGGAGCGAAAC
rnacentral:rRNA from 1 species